rnacentral:rRNA from 1 species
UACAGAGGUGGCAAGCGUUGUUCGGAAUUACUGGGCGUAAAGGGCGCGUAGGCGGCCUCGCAAGUCCCGUGUGAAAUCCCUCGGCUCAACUGAGGAAUGGCACGGGAAACUGCGGGGCUUGAGUUCGGGAGAGGGAAGCGGAAUUCCGGGUGUAGCGGUGAAAUGCGUAGAUAUCCGGAGGAACACCGGUGGCGAAGGCGGCUUCCUGGACCGAUACUGACGCUGAGGCGCGAAAGCUAGGGGAGCAAACGGGAUUAGAUACCCCGGUAGUCCUAGCUGUAAACGAUGAGCGCUGGGUGUAGGGGGUCUUAACCCCCCCUGUGCCGAAGCUAACGCAUUAAGCGCUCCGCCUGGGGAGUACGGUCGCAAGGCUGAA